rnacentral:rRNA from 1 species
AGAGCGAACGCUGGCGGCAGGCCUAACACAUGCAAGUCGAGCGCCCAGCAAUGGGAGCGGCAGACGGGAUAGUAACACGUGGGAACGUACCUUUCAGUUCGGAACAACCCAGGGAAACUUGGGCUAAUACCGAAUACGCCCGUAAGGGGAAAGAUUUAUCGCUGAAAGAUCGGCCCGCGUCUGAUUAGCUAGUUGGUGGGGUAAUGGCCCACCAAGGCGACGAUCAGUAGCUGGUCUGAGAGGAUGAUCAGCAUCACUGGGACUGAGACACGGCCCAGACUCCUACGGGAGGCAGCAGUGGGGAAUAUUGGACAAUGGGCGCAAGCCUGAUCCAGCCAUGCCGCGUGGAUGAUGAAGGCCCUAGGGUUGUAAAGUCCGUUUCGGCGGGGAAGAUAAUGACGGUACCCGCAGAAGAAGCCCGGCUAACUCGUGCCAGCAGCCGC